GACGAACGCUGGCGGCGUGCUUAACACAUGCAAGUCGAACGGAAAGGCCCUGCUUUUGUGGGGUGCUCGAGUGGCGAACGGGUGAGUAACACGUGAGUAACCUGCCCUUGACUUUGGGAUAACUUCAGGAAACUGGGGCUACUACCGGAUAGGAGCUCCUGCUGCAUGGUGGGGGUUGGAAAGUUUCGGCGGUUGGGGAUGGACUCGCGGCUUAUCAGCUUGUUGGUGGGGUAGUGGCUUACCAAGGCUUUGACGGGUAGCCGGCCUGAGAGGGUGACCGGCCACAUUGGGACUGAGAUACGGCCCAGACUGCUACGGGAGGCAGCAGUGGGGAGUAUUACACAAUGGGCGGAAGCCUGAUGCAGCAACGCCGCGUGCGGGAUGACGGCCUUCGGGUUGUAAACCGCUUUCGCCUGUGACGAAGCGUGAGUGACGGUAAUGGGUAAAGAAGCACCGGCUAACUACGUG
rnacentral:rRNA from 1 species